UACGCAUAAAAUAAAGCGCAGAAAGCUAAUAAUAUACGAACUGCAAUUUUAAGCAAUAAGUAUACGCGCUUGUUUGUAA
rnacentral:lncRNA from 1 species